GGAUUAGAUACCCUGGUAGUCCACGCCGUAAACGAUGUCUACUUGCUGUUUGUGUCUUUAAGACGUGAGUAGCGAAGCUAACGCGCUAAGUAGACCGCCUGGGGAGUACGGCCGCAAGGUUAAAACUCAAAUGAAUUGACGGGGGCCCGCACAAGCGGUGGAGCAUGUGGUUUAAUUCGAUGCAACGCGAAGAACCUUACCAUCCCUUGACAUCCAGAGAAUUUUGUAGAGAUAUGAAAGUGCCUUCGGGAACUCUGAGACAGGUGCUGCAUGGCUGUCGUCAGCUCGUGCCG
rnacentral:rRNA from 1 species